GAGGCGGGCAGGCAGGUCCUCCUCCCGGCUCCCGGGCAGCAGCCAGGGGGCGUGGGGCUCUUCUCCGCGGCGGCGACUUCACCGGGGCCGGAGCUACCCACGGACGGACAGCCUGACUGACUGACGGGCGCCGCUGAAUGGAGCAGGAGGUGGGGGCGGCUGGGGAGGGGGAGGGGAGCGGGAUGGGGGGGAAGGGUGUCGGGUGCGCCCGGGGGUUAGGGAGGGGGCGGCUGGGGGGGUUGUUAAGAGUGCUCUCCUCCGGCUACCCAGGCUACGCCGUCUUCCCCACUGUCUCUCACAGCAUUGGAAGAGGAGGGACGGGCUCCCGAGCCCGGGCGCAGGAGGAGGAGGAGCGUCCGGCGCUGCUAUGAAUAAUAAGCCUUAAAAAGGAGAGGAAGGACCAAGCAGCAUGCAGAAAACAGAAUACUUAAAUCUUGGAUUUGACCUCUCAACACUUAACCUAACUUUUUUUUUGCAAAUACCUAACUUUUUUUGCAAAUACAUCCAUGUUUUUAUGUUGUUUCUCUAGAAAAAUGUUAAAAUUUCACUAUUUUUAUCAUGAAUGUCUAAAUUUUUUCAAUAAC
rnacentral:lncRNA from 1 species